GGAAGGGAUGUAUUUAUUAGAUAAAAAACCAAUGCCCUUUGGGCUCCUUGGUGAUUCAUAAUAACUUAACGAAUCGCAUGGCCUUGCGCCGGCGAUGGUUCAUUCAAAUUUCUGCCCUAUCAACUUUCGAUGGUACGGUAGUGGCCUACCAUGGUCUCAACGGGUAACGGGGAAUUAGGGUUCUAUUCCGGAGAGGGAGCCUGAGAAACGGCUACCACAUCCAAGGAAGGCAGCAGGCGCGCAAAUUACCCAAUCCCAAUCCGGGGAGGUAGUGACAAUAAAUACUGAUACGGGGCUCUUUUGGGUCUCGUAAUUGGAAUGAGUACAAUCUAAAUCCCUUAACGAGGAACAAUUGGAGGGCAAGUCUGGUGCCAGCAGCCGCGGUAAUUCCAGCUCCAAUAGCGUAUAUUAAAGUUGUUGCCGUUAAAAAGCUCGUAGUUGAACCUUGGGUCUGGCUGAUCUGUCCUCCUAAUCGAGCGCACGGAUUCGGUCGGACCUUUCCUUCUGGGGAACCGCAUGCCCUUCACUGGGCGUGUCGGGGAACCAGGACUUUUAC
rnacentral:rRNA from 1 species